CGCAACACUAUCCACGUUGGCCGUUCAACCAAACCCACAUUUCACCCUAUAAAUACCAAACCCCUGUAAUAGCAUUUUCAAAAAUCACAGACUCAGGGAGAGAAAAUUCCCGAGAAAAUGCAAGAAAGAGAGGGGCAGAAAGAGCUAUGAGAAGAGACUACAUAACUACAUUAGCUAGUGAUUGUGUCAGUGUAAAUGGCGAAAACUUGAAAAGCUAAAAAAAAAAAAAAAAGACACUGCAAAAUCUAAACAAUUGAACAGUUUAAAAAAAAAAAUCAUCACCGCGUUUUUUUUCCCUUUUUUGUUACGUCAUUUUCUUCUCCGACGACACUAUGAAUCGUUUAGGGUUCAAAACUGAAGUGUUUGAAGGCGACGUGCGUUUAGGCGAACUUGAUUAUUUUCCUGUAACCGCUUUUCAGAACUUCCGAUUUCCGAACAACGAGAUUCGCAUCCACCAUAGAACUUACCGUAGUGAACGUUGUCCUCCUCUUUCCAUUCUUCAAUCGAUUUCCGCUUUCAAUGUUCGAUGUAAACUCGAUUCCUCACUUUCCGUUGAACAACCGCUUUUAAUCAACCUUCACGCUUCUUGUUUUCAUGAAAUGAAGACUGCGGUGGCUGUGGUUGGGGAUGAGGAGCUUCAUCUGGUGGCCAUGCCGAGUAAGAGGAAGAAGUUUCCGUGUUUUUGGUGUUAUGCUGUUCCUGUGGGACUUUAUGAUGCCUGUAUGGGGAUGUUGAAUUUGAGGUGUCUUUCAAUUGUGUUUGAUUUGGAUGAGACUUUGAUUGUUGCGAACACCAUGAAGUCGUUUGAGGAUAGGAUUGAGGCGUUGAGGUGUUGGCUUUUGAGGGAGAGUGAUCCGUUGAGGGUGCAAGGUAUGUCUGGUGAGCUGAAGCGUUAUUUGGAGGAUAGGUUGUUGUUGAAGCAGUUUAUUGAGAUGGAUUCUGUGGUUGAUAGCAAUGGGAAGUUGUAUCAGGUUCAGAUGGAGGAAGUUCCGUCUUUGUCUGAACAGAAAGUUCUUCGCCCUGUUGUUCGGUUGCAAGAUAGGAAUAUUGUUCUUACUCGAAUCAAUCCUGAGAUUCGGGAUACUAGUGUACUAGUGAAGUUACGGCCUGCUUGGGAAGAUUUAAGAUGCUAUUUAACUGCAAAAGGACGAAAGCGGUUUGAAGUGUAUGUUUGUACUAUGGCUGAAAGAGAUUAUGCUUUGGAAAUGUGGAGGCUUCUUGACCCAGGGGCACAUCUUAUAGGUUCAAAGCAAGUAUUUGAUCGUGUUAUUUGUGUUAAAUCAGGCUCCAGAAAAUCUUUACUAAAUGUUUUUCACGAUGGUAUGUGCCAUCCAAAAAUGGCAAUGGUGAUUGAUGACCGUUCAAAGGUUUGGGAGGACAAGGACCAGCCCAGGGUUCAUGUUGUCCCUGCAUUUAGUCCUUACUAUGCUCCUCAAGCAGAGACAGCCAAUGCCGUCCCAGUUCUAUGCGUAGCGAGAAAUGUUGCAUGCAAUGUCAGAGGUUGUUUUUUCAAAGAAUUUGAUGAGAACUUUAUACAAAGAAUUGCUGAAAUCUUCUUUGAAGAUGAGGUUGUAAAUUUACCUCACCCUCCGGUUGUGAGCAGCUACUUGAUGUCUGAGGAGGCGCCGAAUGGUAAUGGUAAUGCUUAUGUCCCCGUCAGUGAAGGAAUGGGCGGCACAGAGUUUGAACGGAGGUUAAACCAACCUGAUGAUAAGGUUUCUGCUGAUUUAGUCAGUCGACCCAUGGCAAACAGUGCUGAUUUCAGACAUGAAAACUCUCAGCCAACUGCUGGCAUGAUUCCAAAUGUCACAGGCCACAGAUCUUCAAGGCCCAUAAUUCCUUCUCAGAAGGAUGCAAUAUCUCCGAAUCACGCGUCUUCUAAUGGCAGAGAUUUACAAAAUGAAGUUGGAAAAUUGAACUUUAUACCAUCUCUAUCUAUUAGAAUGCUGCUAGAAAUUGGGAGGCGGUUGUCCAAAAAGGUUGAAUUUAGGUCAGUUGUAAGCACCAGCAAAGACUUGCAAUUUUCAGUGGAGGUACUAUACACUGAUGAGAAAAUAGGCUUUGGUAUGGGUAGGACAAGGAGGGAUGCUCAACAACUAGCUGCCGAGAAUGCCCUUCGCAGCUUAGCAGAGAAGUAUGUAACAAAUAUGGAGCCUCUAUGUAAAGCUGUUAAUAGAGAAUUGGACGAUCUUUCUCUUGAACACGAAAAUGGUUUCUUGUGGGAUGAGGUCAAUCCGGAAUCCAGUGAACUGCAGACAGAAGAUGGAUUACAAAGAGAAAGUGCUUCAGAGGUGGGGAUAUUUUGUGCUUUUGAUAGUUGAUUUAACCUGUUUUGAUUAAGAAACUAGGUGAUGCUUGGAUAAGGGGUAAUGUGGACUGGAUAUUCCAGAUUGUUUAUGGAAAUGUGUAGCAUCAAUGUGAAGACUAAAUCACUGAAUGUGGAGUGAACUGGCUUCAUGUCUGCUACUGCUUUCUUAGACAAGCUUCUUAAAUUCCUACUUAAAAGGCUUCAGAUGCUGAGACCCGGCCAUUAAAAUCCAAUCCUGUAAAUCAGCAAAACGAAAAACGUAGCUUCCCAAGAACGCCUCAGCCUGUAUCUAGCAAACGAUUGAAGGAAUGAAAAUUUUGCUAAAUGAACAAGAACUACCAUCAUUGCAGCAACUGAAGAAUGUGCCAUUCAUGAGACAGCAGUUUGGAGGCAAAAUGAUUUUAUCGAUGUGCUCUGCUCAUCCAAAACCUCUAGCAUAGUGGUUUUAGGUAUGCUGAGAGGGGAUUUCCCCUGCUAAUUUCUGUUGUAUCACAGAAAACAAGUUAUUAGUCGCGGUUUCAUCUGGGUCAGUUGUUCAUUAGGAGGGAAUGUACUCAGAACCUAAGCAAAAUUUUCAAUAGGAUCUCAAUGUUGGCAAAAUAGUGCACAUGCAAUUAUCACAUUAUUCAUUUAGUUUCAAAUGUAUUCUAAAUAUUACAAACUUAAUAUUAUAAAAGUCUCGAUAAAUA